AUUGAACGCUGGCGGCAUGCUUUACACAUGCAAGUCGAACGGUAACAGGCCGCAAGGUGCUGACGAGUGGCGAACGGGUGAGUAAUGCAUCGGAACGUGCCCAGUCGUGGGGGAUAAGGCAGCGAAAGCUGCGCUAAUACCGCAUACGAUCUGAGGAUGAAAGCGGGGGACCGUAAGGCCUCGGGCGAUUUGAGCGGCCGAUGUCAGAUUAGGUAGUUGGUGGGGUAAGGGCUCACCAAGCCAACGAUCUGUGGCUGGUCUGAGAGGACGACCAGCCACACUGGGACUGAGACACGGCCCAGACUCCUACGGGAGGCAGCAGUGGGGAAUUUUGGACAAUGGGCGCAAGCCUGAUCCAGCAAUGCCGCGUGCAGGAAGAAGGCCUUCGGGUUGUAAACUGCUUUUGUACGGAACGAAAAGGCUCUGGUUAAUACCUGGGGCUCAUGACGGUACCGUAAGAAUAAGCACCGGCUAACUACGUGCCAGCAGCCGCAGUAACAC
rnacentral:rRNA from 1 species